AAAAUCGCUUACUUAGGUUGGUACGGAAGUAAUUGUACUUUGUUUCUUUAAUGGCACAAACUGCAAUUACUUUUGCACCAACCUAAGUAAGCGAUUUU
ensembl:miRNA